rnacentral:sRNA from 1 species
GUGCGUCUCCUUCUCUCCGCAGGUCAGCUCCGCCGAAGGCGCCGCCAAGGAAGAGCCCAAGAGGAGAUCGGCGCGGUUGUCAGCUAAACCUCCUGCAAAAGUGGAAGCGAAGCCGAAGAAGGCAGCAGCGAAGUGUAGGUAGAAGUUUAGCACUGCACAGUCAUCAGAAGAGGCAAGAUUAAUUUCCUUGACAUUGAGGAGUUGGGUAAUUACUAAAUUUGUCCUUGUUAAAUAAAGAUUCUUCAAACACCUAAAUGAAAGUGAUAAAUUCAAAAUUGAUCCUUUUAGUUCCUCAUUAUAUGAUAUCAAGGGAUUAACUGUAGCAGGAUAGUCAACCUGACCGUACGGCAUGGUGCUUUUUUUCAGGAUAAAUCUUCAGACAAAAAAGUGCAAACAAAAGGGAAAAGGGGAGCAAAGGGGAAACAGGCCGAAGUGGCUAACCAAGAAACUAAAGAAGAUUUACCUGCAGAAAACGGGGAAACGAAAACUGAGGAGAGUCCAGCCUCUGAUGAAGCAGGAGAGAAAGAAGCCAAGUCUGAUUAAUAACUAUAUACCAUGUCUUAUCAGUGGUCCCUGUCUCCCUUCUUGUACAAUCCAGAGGAAUAUUUUUAUCAACUAUUUUGUAAAUGCAAGUUUUUUAGUAGCUCUAGAAACAUUUUUAAGAAGGAGGGAAUCCCACCUCAUCCCAUUUUUUAAGUGUAAAUGCUUUUUUUUAAGAGGUGAAAUCAUUUGCUGGUUGUUUAUUU